rnacentral:rRNA from 1 species
AUACGGAGGGUGCAAGCGUUGUUCGGAAUCACUGGGCGUAAAGGGCGCGCAGGCGGUUUGGUAAGUCAGAUGUGAAAGCCCAUGGCUCAACCAUGGAAGUGCAUUUGAAACUGUCAGACUUGAGUACUAGAGGGGAAAGUGGAAUUCCCGGUGUAGAGGUGAAAUUCGUAGGUAUCGGGAGGAAUACCGGUGGCGAAGGCGACUUUCUGGCUAGAUACUGACGCUGAGGCGCGAAAGCGUGGGGAGCAAACAGGAUUAGAAACCCUAGUAGUCC